GAUCAAGAUGUAGAACUCUCAGCUCCUUCUCCAGCACCGUGUCUGCCUGCAUGCCACCAUGCUCCUGUGUGUGACGAUAAUGGACUAAAUCUCUGAACUUCAGAAGAGGAGUCCCCACCGGCUCUGGGCCUCUGAAUGUUCGGGCUGGAAAUCUCACCUCCCUUCUCUCCAGAGGCACAGGAAUGCUCGCUCAGGCUGCACUCUCUGCGUGUGGAGACCUGUCACGGAGCGCUGCCGGGGAUUGCAACAGGUCCCCGAGUGACGGCAGCAGGCCAUGAAGGGCAGAGGGUCCCAGACAGAGAGCGGCACAGUGGGUGAGAAACCUCGGCGGGUCAGCCAGUCCCAUGAGGAGCUGUGGCAGGCGAGAGACGGAGACGGACAGGCACUCCAGGCA